rnacentral:rRNA from 1 species
GAUGAACGCUGGCGGCGUGCCUAAUACAUGCAAGUCGAGCGAACGGACGAGAAGCUUGCUUCUCUGAUGUUAGCGGCGGACGGGUGAGUAACACGUGGAUAACCUACCUAUAAGACUGGGAUAACUUCGGGAAACCGUAGCUAAUACCGGAUAAUAUUUUGAACCGCAUGGUUCAAAAGUGAAAGACGGUCUUGCUGUCACUUAUAGAUGGAUCCGCGCUGCAUUAGCUAGUUGGUAAGGUAACGGCUUACCAAGGCAACGAUGCAUAGCCGACCUGAGAGGGGGUCCGGCCACACUGGACCUGAGACACGUCCAAGACCCCAACGGAGGCAGCAGUAGGGAAUCUUCCGCAAUGGGCGAAAGCCUGACGGAGCAACGCCGCGUGAGUGAUGAAGGUCUUCGGAUCGUAAAACUCUGUUAUUAGGGAAGAACAUAUGUGUAAGUAACUGUGCACUUCUUGACGGUACCUAAUCAGAAAGCCACGGCUAACUACGUG